rnacentral:tRNA from 2 species
UCCUCCAUAGUUCAGUUGGUAGAACGGCGGACUGUUAAUCCGUAUGUCACUGGUUCGAAUCCAGUUGGAGGAG